rnacentral:rRNA from 1 species
CCCUUAGAUGUCCUGGGCCGCACGCGCGCUACACUGAGUGUCUGAGAUACGAGUCUGCCUGGUCCGGCAAGGUCUAGGUAAUCGCUAAAAGACACAUCAUGCUUGGGAUAGAUUAUUGCAAAUAUUAAUCUUGAACGAGGAAUUCCUAGUAAGCGCAAGUCAACAGCUUGCGUUGAUUACGUCCCUGCCCUUUGUACACACCGCCCGUCGCUACUACUGAUUGGAUGUUUAAACGAGGUUCUCGAACUGCUAGCGACUUAGCUUCGGUGAGGUCGCAGUGUGGGAAGUGAACCUAGCUUUGGUGUCUAGAGGAAGUAAAAGUCGUAACA